rnacentral:lncRNA from 1 species
AAAAAUUGACACUCAAAAGUGUUAUAAAAGGAUGGUUUUUGGAGUUGGGCGAUGUGAAAUUAAAGUUUCGUUUGUACAUUCUAGCAGCAAACGACAAAGGAGUUGUCCUAACCUAUGAAGCAGUUGUGUGCGUCACAGAAAUAGGUGACUUUAAAAGAGUGAAGAAACUCUUAUCUUUCAAUGUCGGUUAUUUGGAUGAGAAGGAUGUAUUUUGGAUUGUAAUUGUUGAUACUAAAGCGUCUUGUGUGCAAGACGUGGCAAAGUUUGCUGUGGCAAAGCAUAAUGAAGACGAACAUGAUAGUCUUGUCUACCUUUCUAUCACUAAAGGUUGGUAUCGAGAACUUGACCCGUAUAAUGCUAUAUU